rnacentral:lncRNA from 1 species
GGUGGAAAGUUAUUCUCUUCUCUGCAGCUUGAAGUAUGGUGAAGGAGGCGAGGGUGUAAUAAGUAACUCUGCUGGAGGCUGUGUAGCUGCUGUUUCCCCGCCGAGCCCACAGUGGAACACCAAGAAGCAUCCUGACCCCGCCUGGAUCGAGGCGAGGGCAGCUGAGGCAAGAGGCUAUGACAAGUCACGGUGGGCACCCUUUACAAACCCUUGUCUGCCGAUUUUACACACGAUGUCC